UGCACGAGACGAACUAUUUCCGGUUUGCUAUAAAGCACUGUUGGUUAAUAGACCAGAACCGUAGUGUUAUUGCUUAACCUGUGAAAACGAUGUUGUUGUUUUGAUUAACGUUAUGGAUUAUAAAUAACAUUGAUAUUAGAAAUAUAUGCUUAGAUAUUCGCUGAUUUGUGUAUCCAUUGUGUAUUGUAAGACCAUAUUGUGUUUUUCUUGAGAGUAUAUUUGACGUCAUACUAGAGAUUCAAAAAAGACCAGUGAUGUCAAUGUUGGGGUAUAAAUAGAACUGUUAAGUCAGUUGUAAACAGUUGGAUCCAAAUUUUGACAACUAUCAGCUGAUCGAGCUAAACUUUGCAGUUAUAACGUUUCAUUGAAUAUUUUUCUUACAUUUUGGACAGCAUUGAGAGGCACAAUUUGUGAAGUCGACUGAAUCUGCGUGCAAAAGGAUCCUUGCGAAGUGCAUCACCAGAGAAGUACAAAGAAGCUGGUUGGCAGAAUAAAUGAACAGAGCAGAAGCGAUUCAUCUUCGACUAAUUCCUUUAGAACACACCGUGUUCUGUCCACAUCAUGGUCACAAGAAUCCACUGCCAAGGUGAUCACUUGUUGGUGCAAACUUGGGAACUCAGAAGUGAUCUGUGCUAGAACUGAACAGAACA